rnacentral:ncRNA from 2 species
UUGCUAACGCGGGGGUCCUGCAAUGCGCUCGGUCAAACGAUCGUGCGCAGCGGGUGAGAAAUACCCUUUGAACCUGAUCUGGAUAAUGCCAGCGCAGGGAAGCGUCAGGGUUUCGCCG